rnacentral:rRNA from 1 species
AUACGAAGGGGGCUAGCGUUGUUCGGAAUCACUGGGCGUAAAGCGCGCGUAGGUGGAUCAAUUAGUUGAGGGUGAAAUCCCGGGGCUCAACCUCGGAACUGCCUUCAAUACUGUUGAUCUUGAGACCGAGAGAGGUGAGUGGAAUUCCUAGUGUAGAGGUGAAAUUCGUAGAUAUUAGGAAGAACACCAGUGGCGAAGGUGGCUCACUGGCUCGGUACUGACGCUGAGGUGCGAAAGCGUGGGGAGCAAACAGGAUUAGAAACCCUAGUAGUCC